rnacentral:rRNA from 1 species
AUUGAACGCUGGCGGCAGGCUUAACACAUGCAAGUCGAGCGGGGUGAGGUGCUUCGGUACUGAUCCUAGCGGCGGACGGGUGAGUAAUGCUUAGGAAUCUGCCAUUUAGUGGGGGACAACAUUCCGAAAGGAAUGCUAAUACCGCAUACGUCCUACGGUAGAAAGCAGGGGAUCUUUGGACCUUGCGCUAAAUGAUGAGCCUAAGUCGGAUUAGCUAGUUGGUGGGGUAAAGGCCUACCAAGGCGACGAUCUGUAGCGGGUCUGAGAGGAUGAUCCGCCACACUGGGACUGAGACACGGCCCAGACUCCUACGGGAGGCAGCAGUGGGGAAUAUUGGACAAUGGGCGGAAGCCUGAUCCAGCCAUGCCGCGUGUGUGAAGAAGGCCUUUUGGUUGUAAGCACUUUAAGCGAGGAGGAGGCUACCUGGAUUAAUACUCUGGGAUAGUGGACGUUACUCGCAGAAUAAGCACCGGCUAACUCUGUGCCAGCAGCCGCGGUAACAC